AAGCCGGGCAGAAGAGAGCGCCAGGGACUGGCAGUUCCGGAACGGGCAAUCCCAGCCGAGGGGACCAGCGGCAGAGCACGGGUCCGAGCCGGGGACGGUGGCGUCGAUGGGUCAUGCUCCGGCACUCCCCCUCGCUGUGGGAGCUGGUGGAGGAGCACGUUCCGCUCCGGGAGCGACCCGAAGUGAAGAGGAUUCUGGGGGAGGCGGCGGUGGACCUGAGCCUGGAGCUGCGGGCGGAGGUGGGGAGAGGGAAGGUGGGCCACGCCCCUGGCCUGCCCCACGACUCGGGUUUUCCCACCUCCUGCGGGUCCCUGGCCCUGCCGGGUAACUCCCGAGAUCCUAUCCUGGUCUCCCCUUUGACUCCGCCCUCUCCCUCACUCCCCCAGCCCCCACCAUUCCGGUCACUCCCCUCCCCAGUCGCAAGGUAUCCCAGCUCUCCUUGCAGGUGGCGAUGUUACGGGCACUGCUCCAAGAGGCUCGAUCCUCUCAAGCCCCCAGCUCCCGCCCCAUCUCUGACCCCUCUUCUCUUCUGGCACCACCGCCUCUCCUAAAGGACCUCUUGCGCCAGGAGCUCCGGCAGUUGCUCCAGGGUCUCCGCCACAAAGCCAUCUGUGAGGGCAGGGACCAGGCCCAAGCUUGGGUCCAGUAUAGCCCCAGGGUCCUGCACUUUGCCUUGGAGGAGCCCAGGUGUGAUUUGCCAGAACAGGAGAUAUUCCAGAUGAGAGGUGGUGGGCCCAGGCCUGGGGUGAGCAACAUGCGGAGAGUGAUAGUGACUUCAUUGCCAGCAGCGGUCACAGAGAUCUCAGCAUCAUCAAGGACCAACUGAACGUGUCCAACAUUGACCAGGUGGCCAGACACCUGAGGGGCCUUCUGGAGGAGGAGUGUCACACCUUGGAGAGGGAGAUCCUCAUCCUGCAGCGCUGCCUGGAAGAGGAGUAUAUGAGGCCUUGCCACCCCUCUGAGGCAGCCCUGGAGCCCACCCUGGCAGAGCUAAAGGAACAGAAGAAGGCCAUGGAGCAGGAGCUGCAGGCAUCUGUGGGGCCUUCUUGUGUCUCUCCCAACCACAGGCAGCGGCCCUUGGGGUCCUCCACACAGGGCCUCAGACCCCCGCGUCCCCUCUGCGGGGUUGCACCUCUCCAGUGCUGCCUGCCUGCACCUCCUCUGGAGCCCUACCUUCGACCUCGAGGCCAGUCAGCUACCCACCGCUGGGGAUGGCAGCUUCAGUGCAGCCCCAGGGAAGGGCCAGCUUCCACACCCAUGUCCAGUGCAGCACCCCAAGCCCCAGCCUGAAGGGCUGGUCACCGAGUAGGCUCUGGCUUCUGCCACAGCGCACCUGUCUGCCGCUGCCGCCUCAGCUGCUUUGGCCUAGCCAGCUUCAGAUCUGGUCUUGGCGAGCUCUCGCCAGGACCCCAAGGCUGUUGGUCUGUCUGGCCCUUGCCCCACCCCCUUGCCAGAUCCCUGGUGUCUGGAGCUGAGUGGCCGGGCAUCGGUCCCAAUCAUCAAAGCCUUUGGCCUUUCUCCUCCCAGGCCUCCACAAAGGCCUGGCAGACAGAGGUCUCAUUCCAGCCUGACUCUUGUCCCCUGGGGGACCCAGACAAAGCACAGCAGCCGCUCAGAGACAGGAAUAGAAAUUUCAUUAAAAUCUAUGGACUUUAAAA
rnacentral:sRNA from 1 species